UUGGUCAUGAUAACCUCUUUAUAGACACCAAAAUUGAACUGUUAUCCACCUUAACUGGGGCAGAGAGGAAAUGAGCUUUGGUCACUUAAACGAAACACCACGUCUAUUGGUUUCCUGUAUGCAUGAGACAGGGUUAAAUUGAUUCACCAUAGGCAAUCACUUCAGCAAAACCUUUAGGAAAUCACUUCAAACUCAAAUGGGUCAAUAGGAUGUUUAAUACAUCUCCACCUCUGCCAUUGACAUGAAUACAUGUGGGAGUAUAUACACAUGCACAAUUCAAAUGGAAUUUCAGCUCAUCCACUAAUUGUUCCUUUAAAAACCUGGGCGGGAUGCAGUGGCUCACACAUGUUACCCUGACAAAACAGAGCUUGGUAUUUCAAUUGCCAAACAGGUUUAAAUAUCAAAAAACUUUGAAAUAGUAAAUAAAAUGAGCUCAAUGAACAACAAUAUAUCUAAAACUAUGAUAGACUAGGAUGUUUCAAAAAAUUAAAACAUGAUUAUGGUAAAUAAUAAAUGUGUUCUAUAGAAAGAAAUGUUUUAUUAAGAAAAUCAAGUUAUGAUUAAAUGUGAUAGCGUAAGCCAAUGUAGAAAUGCAAAUUCCUAUGCAUCACUCAUUUUACCCACUGCCUGAAGAAAAAUGAUUUAUAAGCAGCAUUUGUUUACAUCCUCUCUUCCUACAGCUUUUUUAAAAACUCCAGGCACUUUUGUAUAGGUGUAUGAAUAACUGGCUUGACUCCUAAUUCAUCACAUGUCCUCUAUUCUAUUAUUUUCAACAUACUCAUUGCUUUGAGAUCUCUAAAGAUAGAUAGUACAAACCCCACCUAAAAUUAGGUAUGUGAGUUUAACUACACUUUUGUAAUUUUUGUGGGGAAUCCAUAGUCUCUCUCUUUUUUUUUUUUCUUUUUAGACAGGGUCUCACUCUGUCACCCAGGCUGGAGUGCAGGCACAAUCUUGGCUCACUGCAGCCUUCACCUCGUAGGCUCAAGCGAUCCUUCUACCUCAGCCUCCCAAAUAGCUGGCACUACAGGCAUGCAGUGUGCAGCCACACCCAGCUAAUUUUUGUAUUUUCUGUAGAGAUGGGAUCUCACUAUGUUGCCCAGGCUGGUCUUGAACUCCUGAGCUUAAGCAAUCCGCUUGCCUCAGCCUCCCAAAGUGCCGGGAUUAUAGCUGUGAACCACCACACCUGGCUAAUUUUUGUAUUUUUUGUAGAGAAGGGGGUCUCAUUCUGUUGCCCAGGCUGGUCUUGAACUCUUGGAGGCCUCAGCCUCCCAAAGUGCUGGGAUUACAGGUGUGAACUACCACACCCGGCCAUGAAUCCAUAUUCUUUUUUUUUUUUUUUGAGACGGAGUCUCGCUCUGUUGCCCAGGCUGGAGUGCAGUGGCGCGAUGUAGGCUCACUGCAAGCUCCGCCUCCUGGGUUCACGCCAUUCUCCUGCCUCAGCCUCCCGAGUAGCUGGGACUACAGGUGCCCACCACUACGCCCGGCUAAUUUUUUGUAUUUUUAGUAGAGAUGGGGUUUCACCUUGUUAGCCAGGAUGGUCUCGAUCUCCUGACCUCGUGAUCCGCCCGCCUCAGACUCCCAAAGUGCUGGGAUUACAAGCGUGAGCCACCGCGCCCAGCCCAUGAAUCCAUAUACUUAAUAUGAACUAUAAGGCAGUGCUCUCAGAUCUGGGCCAGAUCUCAAAUAGCCCUCAUUAAGUCAGUACAGUACCUUCAUCCUACAGAUCAAUAUGGGACUUCCAAACUUUUCUCCCACUCUCUUGAGCUGUCUUCAUUUUUUUUAUUGCCCUUGGUAAUCAUUUAAAAACUUAACAUAUCUAAUGUAUAUUGGGGAAACCCAAUAUGCUGUAACUCAAUUAUUAAUAUUUAAAUACUACUACAGGAAUUAAUAUUUAAAUAUUGUUAGAGUUACAUUGGCAUCUUCAAACAUAAAAUACCAGAACUAGGCCAGGCAGAGUGGCUCAUGCCUGUAAUCCCAACACUUUGGGAGGCCAAGGUGGGUGGAUCACUUGAGGUCAGGAGUUUCAGACCAGCCUGUCCCUACUAAAAAAAAAAAAAAAAAAAAAAAAAAAAAAUACAAAAAAUUAGCCAGGUGUGGUGGUGGGUGCCUGUAAUCCCAGCUACUUGGGAGGCUGAGGCAGGAGAACCUGGGAGGUGGAGGUUGCAGUGAGCCGAGAUCACACCACUGAACUCCAGCCUGGGUGACAGAGCCAGACUCUGUCUCAAAAAAUAAAAAAUAAAAUAAAAUAAAAUACCAAAACUACAGUCUAACAAUUAAUGAAUGUGUGGAGUCAAUAAGAAGAAAUUUAGCCAAACUUAUCAUUUAUGUGCCUAAGCAAUAUACAAUAUAAAAGACAUAGUCCCUUACACAAGGGACUCAGAGAAAGUCACUUAGGAUACACAUAACAUAAACCAUCAAAUGUUAAUGCUUAGAAAGCUUGAAGACAUAACAGCCUUAGGAAGGCUAAAGAUAUAACAAUUAUCUAAAUAAUUGAAGGUUGCGGCCGGGCACAGUGGCUCAUACCUAUAAUCUCUCUCCCACUUUCAUAUGCUAUUCUCAAAGGUAAAAGAAACCAUUAUAACAAUGAUGGUUGAACCAAGGCUCAGUUGAACAUUUUUUUUCUGAAAGUGAGUUAGCUUGAAGAUUCUAAGUACAGUAGAAUUUGUAAGCAGUGUACACAUGAGAAAAGUGCAUUUAGUUUAGGCUUUAUAUUCCAUGUUUUUGUCUGUUGAGACGGGGUCUCCCUUUGUUGAGCAGGUUAGAGUGCAGUGAUGUGAUCAUGACUCACUGCAGCCUCAACCACCUGGACUCAAGCAAUUCUACCACCUCAGCCUACAAAGUAGCCGGGACCACAGAUGUGAGCCACCAUGCCCAGUUAAUUUUUUGAUUAUUUGUAGAGAUGAGGUCUAUGUUGCCCAGGCUGGUCUCCAACUCCUGAGCUCAAGCGAUCCUCCCGCCUCAGCCUCCAAAAGUGCUGGGAGUACAGGUGUGAGUCACUGCACCCAGGCAAAAUUCUACUUUUUUUAGAAUCUCAUGGGAGAGAUGAGGGGGAAAAAUAAUAAGCAUUUGACAUCUUUUAAAUAAGUCUUUGAGCUCUCUUUAUAAUUUUCUCUUGAGUAUUUGCUCGUCCUUUGUAAAACUAUGGAAACACAAAAUACAUAUGAUGCUCACAAUGCUCUAGCAUUCAAAAAUUCCAGAGUAGUUUUAAUCAUUAUCUGGUCAGGAGUAACACUAGCAUUAAUAAUUUGAAUAAUGCAUUAAAAGAAAAAAAAAAGCUGUGAGCAGUGGCUCAUGCCUAUAAUCCCAACACUUUGGGAGGCUGAGGUGGGUGGAUCACCUGAGGUCAGGAGUUCGAGACCAGCCUGACCAACAUGAAAAAACCUCAUCUCUACUAAAAAUACAAAAUUAGCCUGGCAUGGUGGCACAUGCCUGUAAUCCCAGCUACUCAGGAGGCUGAGGCAGAAGGAUCACUUGAACCUGGGAGGCAGAGGUUGCGGCGAGCCAAGAUCACACCAUUGCACUCCAGCCUGGGCAAAAAGAACGAAACUCCAUCUCAAAAAAAAAAAAAACAGACUAACUUUGUGAAGAAGGGUACAAAAUUAAAACCUUGGUUUUGACUGGGCAUGGUGGCUCACACCUUUAACUCCAGCAGUUUCAGAGGUUGAGGCAGGAGGAUCGCUUGAGCCCAGGGGUUCAAGACCAGCUUGUGACAGAGCAAAACCGCAUAUCUAAAAAAGAAUUUAAAAUUAGCUGAGCAUGGUGGCGCAUGCCUUAGUCCCAGCUACUCAGGAGGCUGAGGCAGGAGGAUCACUUGAGCAAGGGAGGUUGAGGCUGCAGUGAGCUGAGAUCACACCACUGCACUCUGGCCUGGGCAAUAGAGUAAGAUCCUGCCUCAAAAUCAAUCAAUCAAUCAAUCUUAGUUAAACUAUCUUCUUAAUGGGUAGAUUUUACUUUUUAAUUCAGUUUCAAUGAAAAGAAGGGGUCUAUACUUCCCUUCUGUUUAGAAAAGCUAAGUGGCCAUGCUACAUUUUGAAAAUGCUUCGAAAAGGAAACAUUAUGUAUAAAUUUGCCUAAUGAAAGUGAAACAUCAUCAAAUAUAUACUUGAAAAAAUUUUUUUUUUUGAGACGGAGUCCCACUCUGUGGCCCAGGCUGGAGUGCAGUGGCAUAUCUCGGCUCACUACAACCUCCACCUCCCAGGUUCAAGUGAUUCUCCUGCCUCAGCCUCCUGAGUAAUUGGGACUACAGGCAUGUACCACCCUGCCCAGCUAAUUUUUGCAUUUUUAUUAUUUAUUUAUUUUAUUUAUUUAUUUUUUGAGAUAGAGUCUCACUCUGUCACCCAGCCUGGAGUGCAGUGGCGUGAUCUGGGCUCACUGCAACCUCUGCCUCCCGGGUUCAAGUGAUUCUCCUGCCUCAGCCUCCCAAGUAGCUGGGAUUAUAGGUGCCCGCCACCACACCUGGCUAAUUUUUGUAUUUUUAGUAGAGACGGGGUUUCGUCAUGUUGACCAGACUGGUCUUGAACUCCUGACCUCAGAUGAUCUGCCCGCCUUGGCCUCCCAAAGUGCUAGGAUUACAGGCGUGAGCCACCAUGCCCAGUCUUUUUUUGCACUUUUAGUAGAGUCAGGGUUUCACCAUGUUGGCCAGGCUAAUUUUUUAUUGUUCAUAUAUAAAUAUAUAUUUUUUUCUUUUCUUUCUUUUUUUUUUUUUAAGACAUUGUCUCACUCUGUUGUUCAGGCUGGAGUGCAGUGGCACAAUCUGGGCUCACUGCAACCUCCACCUCCCAGGUUCAAGCGAUUCUCCUGCCUCAGCCUCCUGAGUAGCUGGGAUUACAGGCAUGUGCCACCAUGCCUGGCUCAUUUUUUCAUUUUUAGUAGUGACAGUUUCACCAUGCUGGCCAGGCUGGUCUUGAACUCCUAUCUCAGGUGAUCCACCUGCCUUGGCCUCCCAAAGUGCUGGGAUUACAGGUGUGAGCCACUGCACUCAGCCUUUUUUAAAAUUUUUUUUUUUUUUUUUUUUGAGACGGAGUCUCGCUCUGUCGCCCAAGCCGGACUGCCGACUGCAGUGGCGCAA
rnacentral:lncRNA from 1 species